CCUACGGGAGGCAGCAGUGAGGAAUAUUGGUCAAUGGGCGCGAGCCUGAACCAGCCAAGUAGCGUGAAGGAUGACUGCCCUACGGGUUGUAAACUUCUUUUAUAAAGGAAUAAAGUUAGGCACGUGUGACUUUUUGUAUGUACUUUAUGAAUAAGGAUCGGCUAACUCCGUGCCAGCAGCCGCGGUAAUACGGAGGAUCAGAUCGUUAGCCGGAUUUAUUGGGUUGAAAGGGAGCGUAGACGGGUUGUUAAGUCAAUUGUGAAAGUUUGCGGCUCAACCGUAAAAUUGCAAUUGAUACUGGCAGGCUUGAGUACAGUUGAGGUAGGCGGAAUUCGUGGUGUAGCGGUGAAAUGCUUAGAGAUCACGAAGAACUCCGAUUGCGAAGGCAGCUUACUAAACUGCCACUGACAUUGAUGCUCGAAAGUGUGGGUAUCAAACAGGAUUAGAUACCCUAGUAGUC
rnacentral:rRNA from 1 species